UUUUUAAGUGGACAGUACCAUAUAUAUAGACUUGACUGUGACUACAUUUUGAAUAAUUAUCUCAGUGCGCUGUUUGCUUUUUGAGAAGAAUUGCAAGCAAUUUCUGUCUAAUUUAUCUGUCAUGUGGUCGAUUUCGAUAGUUGCGCUUAGUUUGAUCCAUUAUGGAUAUGUAAGUAAAGCUUAUAUUUAUUCACAUAGACGUGAAGCUCUAAUAAUAAUAUCAGAACAUUCAAGCUUCUAGACCAAAAUCUCUUACUUGGCUUUUAAACAUUAAGAUUCUGCCCUCGUAAAUAUGCGUUGCACAGUGUCACUGACCUGUUAAAAGUCGACUUGGCAAAUCAGAACGUCUAAAACAGUAAAUGUAAAACUUUUUUGAAUAUGUCAACUUUGACUUUUUGCUGAUCUAAUGUUCUAUCCAAUUCAUUUUUGUGGCAAGAGCAGUUACUUUAUAAAGUGCUUGUUGUUCUCAUUGCACAGAUACGAAGUUACAACAACAAAUCAUUAUAAUAAUUUCUAUAUAAAUUUACACUUGCACUUCAACUAAGGUUUCAACUCACUCAAGCAAAGUUGGCCUUAGGUGGAUUUGACUAUUUUGUAUGUCCUUUAUGGUUUAUAGCUCUUCGUUUUCGGUCCUCAUACAUCCUUGGCUUUUAACUACUCGGCCGUUUAAGCGUUCCUGAUGUAGGUAAAUCCAUUAAAGCGCUUCGGACGCAUGAAAUUUAUUUCGUGUUGUUUUCAUUUUUUACAGCACUGAGUCGAUACCUCUGCUGUUAGACUAUCAGACCCCGUUGGUAAUUAUCAUCAAUUCGGUAGUCAGUACUUAGGUACUGACAUGAUUUAUAACAAAUUAUUUAAAAUUGCCAAUUUACAAAUUUUGAAAUUAUGCAGAAACUAAGGUUUCAACUCCCUCAGGCAAAGUUGGCCUUAGAUGGAUUUUGUUAUAUUUUUAUGUCCUUUUUUAGAUAAUUUGUUAUAAAUCAUGUCAGUACCGAAGUCCUGAAUACCGAGCUGAUGAUAUGACCAUCUACACAAGUGGCUUUUGUGUUUAUUUAAAAGAGAACAUAAGGAAUUACCAUGUAUCUAGUUUACAAAUCAUCAAAAUAAAACAAAUAUACACUAACACAUCAGUGAAUUUAAUAUGCGAAAGCUUCGCUGAGAUUAUUAAACUGAAACUGUACUUUAUAUCAUAUUUCGAUAUAUAUUGGUAGGCUUACACAAAAGUAUACUGUGUGAAAAUUAAUUAAAAAAAAGUUUAAAUCAAUUUAAUCACAUUGAAAUGAAAAAUGAUAGAUAGUAUAAUUCUAGAUUUUUAAUGCAUUGACUUCAAUGAAAUAAAAUGUACAUCACUUAAUUAUGUCCUCAUUAUAUAUAAGUUGCACAAUAAAUCAUUUCAACAAUUGUAUUGUAAAUAUCUCGAAUAUGCUAUAUACUUUAUUAAAUUUUUAUUAUUUUCAACAGAUUUUAGCAAACGACGUGAAGCCUAAUAGUAAGUCAUAGUUAUCCACAGCUUUAUAUUUAUAAAAUUAUUCCUGUAAAACUAAAAUACUACACGGUAAAUUAAAAAUUUUGCAAUGUAUAUUCCAUCAAUAUCAGGACA
rnacentral:lncRNA from 1 species